CAUUGCCAUGUUUCUUAGGUAGAUCAGGCAGUUGGAAGAAGUGUUCUCUCCUGAGGCCUCUCCCAGUCCUUAGGAUGGGAUGCUAAAAAAGUUUUACGCUCCCUUUAGUAAGGUUGCCCCCUAGAGCUGAUGGCCAAAGGUUCAGAUGGUCAGGAGAUCAGGCCGUGGUCUGCCCCUCCCUUUUUACGGGGUUUGUGGGUGGGUGCAGAAACUGCAGCCUCCCUAACUAGCUCUGCCCUGCAGGUGAGUAUUAGGGGUAUGUCAAGCUUUGGCUGUAUGGCAGACUUUGGCUACAACUUAGCUCACUGGUAUUAUCACAGCACAAUGAGCAGGCAUUUGUUCAGUAUGAUGUAGUGGGUAUUUAAUUCCCAUAGAGUCAACUCCGUGAGGUAGUGUUGAGUUCCACUUCGAAAGGGAAUGUCUCAGGUUACGGCUGUAACCAUGGUUCCCCGAGAAGGGGAAGAAGACACUGCAUUGCGUUGACAUACUUCUGGCAUGCCUUGCGUCUUCCUUCAGGUAAUUGAAGUUUCUAGGCACCCUUAUAUACCCUGCCGGCACACCUGUGACGUUACCUUACUGUGGUAGCCAAUCAAGAUUGACAUGUAGCACACGUGCUUCAGACACCAGCUUUAAUGCUGAAUAUAAGUAAUAUUUUCUUUAGAACAUCUCACUUUCCCCCAACUUUUGAAUGGAAGUGUAUCACGAUUUUCACAAAAAUAUUAAGCAGCACAACUGUUUUCAACAUUGAUAAUAAUUAGAAAAGUUUCUUAACUCCAAAUCAGCAUAUUAGAAUGAUUUAUAAAGAAUCAUGUGACAUUAAAAACUGGAGUAAUGGCUUCUGAAAAUUCAGCUUUGCCAUCAGAUAGAGAUUCUUCCCUUCCAACAAGAUCCAUAUUUUGGGUCCAUUUUACUGUAAAAGAAAGACUGUAUAUUUUAAAAAUACAUCUGUUUGGGGUUUUUUUUCUACUUUUGUCAGUGUGACACUGCAGAUUUCCUCCACAGACAUGCGCUAAAGCUCACAAAAGUCCAAUUUUCGAUUUCAUGGUUUUGUAGCCUUAGCUAACAGAGAAAUGUAAUUUAUAUCCUGCGUUUGCAUGCUUGUAUGUGUUAUUGUCCUUGUUCUGUCCUGUAUACAAGCACAUAACCAUCGCAGGCGCUGAUGAAAUGCUAUUGCUGUCCCCAGGGGCACUGAAUGCCUGAAGUGAGCUGUCACUGUCACGUUACAUUAACGCCCUGUGUGACUCUGAUCUCAGAGGCAGCACCUCAUCAUACGACUGUCUUUUUCCUCAGUGUCCUUUCAGUUAUUCUUCACACACACACCAGUCACAGGCUUGCACAAAACCAUUAUCUGUAAUUCUAAUGCAUUUUUAGAAGCUAAUGGAGAUUACAGCACAAGAGAGCUUCUUCGUGGCAGAUCAUGGGAGCUCUUCUUUCCCUUUCCUACAUUUGACAUAGCUGUUUUGAUAAUGGCACAUCGAAUUUGCUGUUAUCUCGCAUAUUAAAAUGAAUAAUGAAGCAAAGUUACAGUUGCAGCUGAAGCUAGAGAUGUAGACAAAACAUCUGCCUGUAUCACCUUGAAAUUCAUGACAUUUAUGCCUGUUAGAGAGUUUCUCCGUAAUCCUGAGCUGUGAGCUGCGGCUCAUAGCAUAACAUAAUCAUUCUAUUGGGAUAAAACUAGCAUUCAUGAAACCUUACUUACAAGCAGCACAAAUGUAAUAUUAAUGCAUGCAAUAAAGUAGGGUUUAAUCAUUACACACAAUAGGGGAUGGCGUUUUAUUUACCGGUAUUUAAUGGCUUGUCAGUGAAGUGAAGUUUGAACCUUACUGCACAGGAUAGAGUUAUCCAGCCCUAUUUAAGUAGCUUACAGAGAGUCAGCUCUGUCUGUCUGAUCCUCUCGCUGCAUUAGUGAGUUGCUCUGGCCUCAUCCUGACACUCAGCUGGGAUCUCUAACGUGCUUGGAUUAUAAAUAGGCUAAACUGUGUUUAUGCCUGUGUGUUUUCAGCACUAAACAUGAGAGCCAUCAUCAACCUCUUUUUUAUGCAGCUAAUGAACUUAGCGUGAUGCAUAUUUGUCAGUCACACAUAGAAGAAACAGGUAAGAAACAGGUAUGAUAUCUGCGCUUAAUUUGUUUUAUUUAUCUUUACUAUUAGCAAAAUCUUUUAUGUAUGACUGACAAAUAUGCAUCACAUUAAGUUUAUUAGUUUGUUUGUUAAAACUAUGUAAUCCAAAUGGAUGUAAAUUUUAUAUGCAAUUCAAAUUCAAAAAUCUCAAAUGUAUGCCUAAAUAUUUUUUAGAGUGUUACACAGGUAAUUAGACAAUGCAACCAAAGAAAACAUUUUGUGGCUGCACACAUACAUUGACCGAUAAUAAUUUUAGACAGACGGAUCCAGUUCCAAUUUACUGUAUUUUUGUGCUAGUUUUCAAAAUGACCUACCUCUUUCCACACUCCUAAAAUACAAUUUAUUCAUCCUACCUGUUUUUAUGUAGCAAACUUUCACAAGUAAAUAUUGCUUAAAAUACUUUUACCUGUGCACCACCACAAAAAAAAAUAAAAAAAAUAAAUAAAUAAAAAUAAUAAUAAUUAAUAAAAAAAAAAAAUAAUAAUUACAAACCCGAUUCCAAAAAAGUUGGGACACUGUACAAAUUGUGACUAAAAAAGGAAUGCAAUGAUGUGGAAGUUUCAAAUUUCAAUAUUUUAUUCAGAAUACAACAUAGAUGACAUAUCAAAUGAUGACGUAUCAUUUUAAGGGAAAAAUAAGUUGAUUUUAAAUUUCAUGGCAUCAACACAUCUCAAAAAAGUUGGGACAAGGCCAUGUUUACCACUGUGUGGCAUCCCCUCUUCUUUAUAACAGUCUGCAAACGUCUGGGGACUGAGGAGACAAGUUGCUCAAGUUUAGGAAUAGGAAUGUUGUCCCAUUCUUGUCUAAAACAGGCUUCUAGUUGCUCAGCUGUCUUCUUUGUCGCAUCUUCCUCUUUAUAAUGCGCCAAAUGUUUUCUAUGGGUGAAAGAUCUGGACUGCAGGCUGGCCAUUUCAGUACCCGGAUCCUUCUUCUACGCAGCCAUGAUGUUGUAAUUGAUUCAGUAUGUGGUCUGGCAUUGUCAUGUUGGAAAAUGCAAGGUCUUCCCUGAAAGGGAAGGGGAGCAUAUGUUGUUCUAGAACUUGGAUAUACCUUUCAGCAUUGAUGGUGCCUUUCCAGAUGUGUAAGCUGCCCAUGCCACACGCACUCAUGCAACCCCAUUGUAACGGGUUAUAUUACUUAUAAUUUAGUUCUUCACUUUUAUGGACCAAUUAGGAAAAUCAGAAGAUUCGUAUGAUCGACUACGGAGGUAGAGGGUAAUUGCUGAAGGAACGACAGGAGACCACAAUUAAGUGUCCGAAUAGGUUGGCUCGCCAUCAAAGAAAAUCAAUCUCCCCUCAGGAAAAAAACCUGACCUGUUUAAAAGGUCAGAAAUGCAUGACUGCAUUUAGUCAACAAUAGCAUCACAUCAGGUAAGUAUCUCCACAUACCAAUAAAUUAACAUAUAAAGUAAUAAUUUCAAUGUUUUACAAUAUUACAUUGAAAUAAACAUACAUCUCUUUUCAGGCACGUGUAUAUUACCCCGACAUGCACGUGAA